rnacentral:piRNA from 1 species
AAAUUACAAGCAAACACACAAACAUAGGAAA